rnacentral:rRNA from 1 species
UGGGGAAUAUUGCGCAAUGGGCGAAAGCCUGACGCAGCGACGCCGCGUGGGGGAUGAAGCUUCUCGGAGUGUAAACCCCUUUCGACCCGGACGAAUGACCCGCAAGGGUUUGACGGUACGGGUAUAAGAAGCCCCGGCUAACUACGUGCCAGCAGCCGCGGUAAUACGUAGGGGGCCAGCGUUGCUCGGAAUUACUGGGCGUAAAGGGUUCGUAGGCGGUGCGGCAAGUUGGGAGUGAAAUCUCUGGGCUUAACUCAGAGGCUGCUUUCAAAACUGCCGUGCUCGAGUGCGGGAGAGGCCAGUGGAAUUGCAGGUGUAGCGGUGAAAUGCGUAGAUAUCUGCAGGAACACCCGUGGCGAAGGCGGCUGGCUGGACCGCAACUGACGCUGAGGAACGAAAGCUAGGGGAGCAAACAGGAUUAGAUACCCCCGUAGUCC